UAUUUACAAUAGCCAAGACACAAUAGUAAAGGCUAUUACUUUGCAAUAAGCUACAUGUAAAUUUUUAGAUGUUGAAAUCACUAUGAUAGCUUUGGAAUGGGUCCUCUUGGCUAGGCUGAACUCAAGCUUCCAGAAUCCAUUUCUUUUGUGUUUCCAUUUGUGGGGUGGACAUAAGGGACGUUCUUGCUAGAUUUGGAGGACAGAGGGAACAACAAAUAUUUUAUAGUGUGUCAAUAUGUGUGCACACAUGAGUGCCUAUUUACUGAUUUACUUUGUUAAUGUUAAGCAACAGUGGGUUUACAAGUGCUUUAUCUUAUCUAGACCCUCUUUUAGUUUCUUUAGUUUCAUACCUAGUGGCUAGGUAUGGGUUUGAUUUCGCAGGGAAAGGCUUUGGAGAAGAUCACUGAUUUCUUAAAGAUAACCUUGUCACUAUGGUCAAAGGCUAUAAUAAUGGACACAGAUUUCAGUCCAUCCCUUUUUUAAAUUCCAGCUACUGCUUAUAGGUUCCAGCCUCUUCAGUGGUCUUCCUUUCCUAAUGCCUGUCCUAGGUAUUUUAAGCUUCAGUACCCGAUUCUGCAACAACUUAUAAAGACCAUUUAACUAACCCUCACAAUUGUGUAAAGCAAUUAUCUGUAACAAAUCCCUACUAGAUUAUCUACUGGUCUUUGCCUGAUAGAAUCAUAAGUGUACAAAACAAUUUUAGAUAAUUAUCAUCUUUCUAUAAAUUUGUUUUGGAGAAAUAUAAGUAUAUAUUUGAUAUGUUCAUCAUUGACUGAGACAUAUAGCAUUACUUUACUAAUAUAAAGAUUUUUCUGGAGAUAAUUGAAAUAUAUUAAGGGGCUACAAAAUAAGCACUUAAGGAGUUGGAAAUAUCUGUAGUACAAAUUUCAGUUGGAAAUCUUCCUGAAAUUUUAUUAUUCAUAUAUGCAAUGACUUCAUUUUAAGAUAUGAGCUAAAUUUAAUGAAAAGAAUAAUUUAGUACUUGCAGAGUAUAACAAGAUGUUGAUUGUGUUUUAAAUAUACAAGCCAUUACAAUAUUAAAAAGAUGCCAACUCUGUAUUUAUGAAACUCAUUGACAGUCAAACUGAAAAAUAUUAAUUUUGAAAAGCUUACAGGCAGGCAGAACUUCAAAGGAAGACUUCACUUUUUUUCACAGGAAUGCUAAAGUUCCAAAAUAGACGUUGACUAUCCCUUGCUUCCUUUAACCCUGCUCUGAGUCACCAUUGACAAAUCUAAAUCAUAAACUGAAGGUCAUAAACUAUGUAUGCAUAGUUUUAACAUAGAAAAAUUAAAAUGGAAUUUUGCCAGAGUUCUGCAUAUUUGGUGCAUCAAUAAUUCUGUCUUUCUUCUAAGACCAAAAUCAUAAUGCUUUCACCUUCAGACAGCGUGAGAGGCUUUGACUUUUUUGUUAUCCUCACAUGAAGUUUGGGCUGAAUUUCAAAUGACUGGUAACAAAUCAUACAUAGUCAAAUACUAGCUUUACUACAGUUGCAUCACUGUAUGAUCACAAGGUUCAUAUUUUGAUUACAUUUUCCAGUAAUAUUUGAUUGAACAAAGGACCAGCCAAUGUUUGUGUCAGCCUUCCUGGAAGGACUGGCACAUGAUUUAUCUAUACUUAACCAAAUUAACAUCCAUUCUUCCUAUAGAGACAAAAGACCUGUACUCUGAAAACUAUGAGGCUGAUGAAAGAAAUCAAAGAUGACACAAACAGAUGGAAAGGUAUACCAUGCUCGUGGUUCUUGUUUGUUUGUUUUGUUUUGUUUUGUUUUCUGUCUUUUUGUCUUUUCUACAGCCGCUCCCGUGGCAUAUGGAGGUUCCCAGUCUAGGGGUCCAAUCGGAGCUGUAGCUGCCAGACUAGACCACAGCCACAGCAACACAGAAUCUGAGCUGCAUCUGAAAACUAUACCACAGCUCAUGGCAACGCCAGAUCCUUAACCCACUAAGUGAGGCCAGGGAUCAAACCCACAACCUCAUGGUUCCUAGUCGGAUUUAUUAAUCACUGAGCCACAACGGGAAUUCCCAAUAUACCAUGCUCUUGGAAUGGAAGAUUCAAUAUUGGCAAAAUGACUAUACUACCUAAGGCAAUCUAUAGAUUCAAUGCAGUCCCUAUCAAAUUACCAAUAACAUUCUUCACAAAACUAGAACAGAAUAUUUUCAAAUUUGUAUGGAAAAAGAACCAGCCAAAGAAAUAUUGAAAAAGAAAAACAGAACUGUAGGAAUCAGGAUUCCUGACUUCAGACUAUACUACAAAGCAGCAGUUAUCAAAACAGCAUGGUACUGGUACAAAAACAGAAAUAUAGAUCAAUGGAACAGAAUAGAAAGCCCAUAAAUAAACCCAUGCACCAAUGGUCAACUAACAAUGACAAAGAAGGCAAAAAUAUACAAUGAAGAAAAGAAAGCCUCUUCAAUAAGUGGUACUGGAAAAACUGGACAGCUACAUGUAAAAGAAUGAAAUUAAAAUACUAAAACCAUACAGAAAAGUGAACUCAAAAUAGAUUAAAGACCUAAAUAUAAGACAGGAUACUAUAAAACUCUUAGAGGAAAGCAUAGGCAGAACACUCUCUGACAUAAAUCACAGCAAUACCUUUUCAGAUCCAUCUCCUAAAGUAAUGGAAAUAAAAACAAAUAUAAACAAAUGGGACUUAAUUAAA
ensembl:lncRNA